rnacentral:pre_miRNA from 1 species
UGGCAGUGUGGUUAGCUGGUUGUGAAAUAUUUACUUGAAUCCACAGCCACUAUCCAAACUGUCCAC